UAUGGGAUUCCCAUCCAAGUCAUUUGUUAUUUUCUUUUUGUUGUUAGAUUGACGUUCACAUCACUCCUGGCACACAUGCCUCAGAGGAUGCAGUCAAUAAGCAGCUUGCAGACAAAGAGAGAGUGGCAGCAGCUCUGGAGAACUCUCAGCUGCUGGAGGUGGUCAACCAGUGUCUGUCCUCCAGAGCCAUGUGAUCCCAAGAAUCCUGCCGCUGUUGUUGUGUAGUCCUUCGACAGUCAGGAUUGAACACUUACAGACAAGCCAGAGUUGAGUGAUAAUAACAGUGCUAUUAUUUGUGGCUAUUUUUUAUGUAUCUAGUGCUGUGCUCCACAAACAACACCAGACCAGGAGGACUGUUUAGUGCUUAAAAAGUGAGAGAUGCUUCCAGGUAGAGUUUAAAAAUGUGUCAGGAAAAGAAACGGUGGUAAUAGAGAAUUCAUGUGGAACCUAUAUAUAUAUUUUUUUUUUAUUUUAUUUUAUUUUUUCUGUUUGACAGUACGUGGAUACAGAAAUAAAUGUUAUUCUGUCAUAUAUUUAUGAAUAUGUGCAAAAUGACUUUACUUUUAGAAAGUUGUGGACUUUUCAAAUACAUUUUUUUAUUGGUCAAAAUGGAAAAUGUGUGCAACAGAAA